GACGAACGCUGGCGGCGUGCUUAACACAUGCAAGUCGAGCGGUAAGGCCCUUUCGGGGUACGACGAGCGGCGAACGGGUGAGUAACACGUGGGUGACCUGCCCUCAGCUCUGGGAUAAGCCUGGGAAACCGGGUACUAAUACUGGAUAUGACUCCAUGACGCAUGUUGUGGGGUGGAAAGCCUUGUGCGGCUGAGGAUGGGCCCGCGGCCUAUCAGCUUGUUGGUGGGGUGAGGCCUACCAAGGCGACGACGGGUAGCCGGCCUGAGAGGGCGACCGGCCACACUGGGACUGAGACACGGCCCAGACUCCUACGGGAGGCAGCAGUGGGGAAUCUUGCGCAAUGGGCGAAAGCCUGACGCAGCGACGCCGCGUGAGGGAU
rnacentral:rRNA from 1 species